ensembl:processed_transcript
GUGCGAGCUUCAGGAGGAUCGUGUGGGGAGGUAGGGCCACCUGUCUGCCAGCCAAACACUCAUUGAGUAUCUGGGGGACUCUGGUGGCCCAGCCAUACCAUACCAGGUUUCUCCCACACAUCCAAUUAACGCAGGAGAAGGAAUCCUGUUCAGCAAGAAGACAGGGAUGGUUAUGAACUGGGAUGGUGUGGAGAACUGCUGCCCUUUUCAGAGUGGAGGAUGAGUGAAACUGAGUUUGUUAACCCUGAAGCUAAUCUAUAAACCUAACCUGAUGAGGAUCGGGUUUUCUUCAGUAAACCCAGAGUUUCAUUCACCCUUCUCUUACUUUUUAAAGCAAAAUAUAUUGGCAAAAUAUGUAU